GAGUUUGAUCGUGGCUCAGAUUGAACGCUGGCGGCAUGCCUUACACAUGCAAGUCGAACGGCAGCAUGAUCUAGCUUGCUAGAUUGAUGGCGAGUGGCGAACGGGUGAGUAAUACAUCGGAACGUGCCCUGUAGUGGGGGAUAACUAGUCGAAAGAUUAGCUAAUACCGCAUACGACCUGAGGGUGAAAGUGGGGGACCGCAAGGCCUCAUGCUAUAGGAGCGG
rnacentral:rRNA from 1 species